rnacentral:sRNA from 1 species
GCCUCGCCCCACGGCGAAAAAUAAACUAAAGGCGGGUAGUGCUGGUAGACUGACGCAAGUCAGGCCGAAGGCAACGAAGUCAGAAAAAAAGCAGAC